ACCUAAGUGCUGGGAUUACAGGAUCUGAACCAGGAUCACACCUUUCAUUUAUCUGUUACAUCGUUACUUUGCUCCAAUCUGUGAUGCUUCAUUCAUCUUUUUCCUGUUGUGACUUCGCUCUGUGAUUCUGUGAAGAAACCUGAGAUUUUACCAAGUUUUCCAUGAAUGUCUUCUGUCUGCUCCAGAAUCCAUACCCAAGGGCCAUGCUGCAUUAAGUUUCGAUGCUCUCUUUGGGGUGAAUAACAGAUGGCUUCUCUCAUUUUGUGUGAUCUUUUCUUAUGAUUUGAUUGAAGGCAGGCAUUGAAGGUAGGGGUCAGAAUUCCACAGAAGACAUACUGUGUGGGUGCCCUUCUGAUGCUUCCUUUCAUGGGUGUGGGUGUGUGGUAUCUGCAGCAUCAUUUAGUAGAGGUGGUACCUGUGGGCUUUUCCAUUUUGCACUCACUGUUCCUCUUUCCAGCCUCUAUCCUCUAACAUAAUAAAGUCACUACGGUUAGUCUACCA